CGUCGGUUAGUCGGUAUCGGUGUCCUCUCUGCUGCACACCGGGAGUGACUGUCGUAGUGUUUCCGCAACCUGUGGUUCUGCAAGGUGCAAGAUGCAAGAGGUCCCGAGGUACGCGGUGUGAUGAUUCGGCUUUUUUUUUGUUGCUGUUGGUGAAAUUGAUUAUGAUUCCAAAUUACCAUAAAAGUGCUUGAAGUGCUUGAAGUGCUUGAAGUGCUAGGAAUAUAGUGUGGCAUUCAGGGACGGAUAUUCCCAGCUCCCUGGUCCAGUCCAUCCCUUCUGUGCCACAGCAUCAGGUGAAGGGUGGGCGGCGCCCAUUGCCACCAGCCACUCGACGAAACCGGGCAGCCGCAGCAUCCAAGGAGCCAUUGGCACUGUUGCCAACGACCGGAACUGGAGCGAGGGAGCAGACAGGUAGCAGCAGGAAGCUCUGCAUGAGCGAGAGAAUGCCACAGGAGGAUACGCUGACCAGUGGCGAGUAAGCCAACCAACACUCAAGCAACAGUUGGCCUCGCCUCAUCGUCGCUCAUCAUCGACAUUUAGCCGAGAGGGUAG